ACUAAGCGUACACGGUGGAUGCCCUGGCAGUCAGAGGCGAUGAAGGACGUGCUAAUCUGCGAUAAGCGUCGGUAAGGUGAUAUGAACCGUUAUAACCGGCGAUUUCCGAAUGGGGAAACCCAGUGUGAUUCGUCACACUAUCAUUAACUGAAUCCAUAGGUUAAUGAGGCGAACCGGGGGAACUGAAACAUCUAAGUACCCCGAGGAAAAGAAAUCAACCGAGAUUCCCCCAGUAGCGGCGAGCGAACGGGGAGCAGCCCAGAGCCUGAAUCAGUGUGUGUGUUAGUGGAAGCGUCUGGAAAGGCGUGCGAUACAGGGUGACAGCCCCGUACACAAAAAUGCACAUACUGUGAGCUCGAUGAGUAGGGCGGGACACGUGGUAUCCUGUCUGAAUAUGGGGGGACCAUCCUCCAAGGCUAAAUACUCCUGACUGACCGAUAGUGAACCAGUACCGUGAGGGAAAGGCGAAAAGAACCCCGGCGAGGGGAGUGAAAAAGAACCUGAAACCGUGUACGUACAAGCAGUGGGAGCACGCUUAGGCGUGUGACUGCGUACCUUUUGUAUAAUGGGUCAGCGACUUAUAUUCUGUAGCAAGGUUAACCGAAUAGGGGAGCCGAAGGGAAACCGAGUCUUAACUGGGCGUUAAGUUGCAGGGUAUAGACCCGAAACCCGGUGAUCUAGCCAUGGGCAGGUUGAAGGUUGGGUAACACUAACUGGAGGACCGAACCGACUAAUGUUGAAAAAUUAGCGGAUGACUUGUGGCUGGGGGUGAAAGGCCAAUCAAACCGGGAGAUAGCUGGUUCUCCCCGAAAGCUAUUUAGGUAGCGCCUCGUGAAUUCAUCUCCGGGGGUAGAGCACUGUUUCGGCAAGGGGGUCAUCCCGACUUACCAACCCGAUGCAAACUGCGAAUACCGGAGAAUGUUAUUACGGGAGACACACGGCGGGUGCUAACGUCCGUCGUGAAGAGGGAAACAACCCAGACCGCCAGCUAAGGUCCCAAAGUCAUGGUUAAGUGGGAAACGAUGUGGGAAGGCCCAGACAGCCAGGAUGUUGGCUUAGAAGCAGCCAUCAUUUAAAGAAAGCGUAAUAGCUCACUGGUCGAGUCGGCCUGCGCGGAAGAUGUAACGGGGCUAAACCAUGCACCGAAGCUGCGGCAGCGACGCUUAUGCGUUGUUGGGUAGGGGAGCGUUCUGUAAGCCUGUGAAGGUGUGCUGUGAGGUAUGCUGGAGGUAUCAGAAGUGCGAAUGCUGACAUAAGUAACGAUAAAGCGGGUGAAAAGCCCGCUCGCCGGAAGACCAAGGGUUCCUGUCCAACGUUAAUCGGGGCAGGGUGAGUCGACCCCUAAGGCGAGGCCGAAAGGCGUAGUCGAUGGGAAACAGGUUAAUAUUCCUGUACUUGGUGUUACUGCGAAGGGGGACGGAGAAGGCUAUGUUGGCCGGGCGACGGUUGUCCCGGUUUAAGCGUGUAGGCUGGUUUUCCAGGCAAAUCCGGAAAAUCAAGGCCGAGGCGUGAUGACGAGGCACUACGGUGCUGAAGCAACAAAUGCCCUGCUUCCAGGAAAAGCCUCUAAGCAUCAGGUAACAUCAAAUCGUACCCCAAACCGACACAGGUGGUCAGGUAGAGAAUACCAAGGCGCUUGAGAGAACUCGGGUGAAGGAACUAGGCAAAAUGGUGCCGUAACUUCGGGAGAAGGCACGCUGAUACGUAGGUGAAGCGACUUGCUCGUGGAGCUGAAAUCAGUCGAAGAUACCAGCUGGCUGCAACUGUUUAUUAAAAACACAGCACUGUGCAAACACGAAAGUGGACGUAUACGGUGUGACGCCUGCCCGGUGCCGGAAGGUUAAUUGAUGGGGUUAGCGCAAGCGAAGCUCUUGAUCGAAGCCCCGGUAAACGGCGGCCGUAACUAUAACGGUCCUAAGGUAGCGAAAUUCCUUGUCGGGUAAGUUCCGACCUGCACGAAUGGCGUAAUGAUGGCCAGGCUGUCUCCACCCGAGACUCAGUGAAAUUGAACUCGCUGUGAAGAUGCAGUGUACCCGCGGCAAGACGGAAAGACCCCGUGAACCUUUACUAUAGCUUGACACUGAACAUUGAGCCUUGAUGUGUAGGAUAGGUGGGAGGCUUUGAAGUGUGGACGCCAGUCUGCAUGGAGCCGACCUUGAAAUACCACCCUUUAAUGUUUGAUGUUCUAACGUGGACCCGUGAUCCGGGUUGCGGACAGUGUCUGGUGGGUAGUUUGACUGGGGCGGUCUCCUCCUAAAGAGUAACGGAGGAGCACGAAGGUUGGCUAAUCCUGGUCGGACAUCAGGAGGUUAGUGCAAUGGCAUAAGCCAGCUUGACUGCGAGCGUGACGGCGCGAGCAGGUGCGAAAGCAGGUCAUAGUGAUCCGGUGGUUCUGAAUGGAAGGGCCAUCGCUCAACGGAUAAAAGGUACUCCGGGGAUAACAGGCUGAUACCGCCCAAGAGUUCAUAUCGACGGCGGUGUUUGGCACCUCGAUGUCGGCUCAUCACAUCCUGGGGCUGAAGUAGGUCCCAAGGGUAUGGCUGUUCGCCAUUUAAAGUGGUACGCGAGCUGGGUUUAGAACGUCGUGAGACAGUUCGGUCCCUAUCUGCCGUGGGCGCUGGAGAACUGAGGGGGGCUGCUCCUAGUACGAGAGGACCGGAGUGGACGCAUCACUGGUGUUCGGGUUGUCAUGCCAAUGGCACUGCCCGGUAGCUAAAUGCGGAAGAGAUAAGUGCUGAAAGCAUCUAAGCACGAAACUUGCCCCGAGAUGAGUUCUCCCUGACCCUUUAAGGGUCCUGAAGGAACGUUGAAGACGACGACGUUGAUAGGCCGGGUGUGUAAGCGCAGCGAUGCGUUGAGCUAACCGGUACUAAUGAACCGUGAGGCUUAACC
rnacentral:rRNA from 1 species